UCUUAUUUUCUCAGCUUAACAUAUCCACAUACCCCUUUUCUCUAUCAAUAUUUCCUGUAUUUACAAUUCUACUACGUAAUUUCAUUCGAGUUAAGUUGUAAUCGUAUUUGUUUCUUUUACUUCAUUCGCUUACUACUCAGUACUUCUUGAGAAAAUGAUGAAGGAUAUCUUUGGUCUCUUCUUGUUCUUACUAAUUUGCGUCAUAGCAAAUGGUCGCACAGUGUCAGCGACGACGUUCACACCGUCGUCGCUAGCUCCAACAACGUUAGCAAACCCACAGGACAAAGCCCAUGAAAUCAGCUUAAAAUCAGCUGCAAUAGUACUCAUUUGUGCCAUCAUAUUCUUAGCAUGUCUCUCCAUAUAUAUCCGUCGUUGCACCAACCCUACUAGUAUUAACAUAUUUGACGAAUUACCAGUUGGUCGUCCUCAUCCACCCUACAUAAUUAGAAGGGGUCUCAAUUCUACUAUCAUAAAAACUUGAGUAGGGACGACUACAAUGUUACGGCCUUUAAUUUUCUUAGUUAUAUUAUAUUUUUUUUUUUGGUUUUCCACCCGGUGUACUCACGUUGGAGCCCGAUUAAAAGCGCUCCCUAACAAAGGCGACUCCAUACCCAGGCCUCGAACCCGAGACCUCUGGUUAAGAAUGAAGGAGGAACUGUUGGACCAUUUGGACGAUCCAUUAAUCCAGCAUUAUUAUUCAGGGAGCAGAACCAAGUAGCGGACGAAGGAGCAAGGCGGCAAAACUUUAAUCAGUUUGUGCAUCUACUAAUUGUUUGCUAUAGAUAUUAUUGAAGCAGACGCUUCUUUUAAUAGCUAGGCUAAUUAGACCAGUUAAUGUUUGUAUGUAGUUUUAAUUUGGAUUAUUGUAAUGCUACUAAUGGCGCCUCUCAGUACUUUACUAGGAGUACUUUGUUUUGUAAUGAUAUGCAUAAGUAUAUAUAAAUAUUUCUGUAUUUAACC